UAAGCGACUAAGCGUACACGGUGGAUGCCCUGGCAGUCAGAGGCGAUGAAGGACGUGCUAAUCUGCGAUAAGCGUCGGUAAGGUGAUAUGAACCGUUAUAACCGGCGAUUUCCGAAUGGGGAAACCCAGUGUGAUUCGUCACACUAUCAUUAACUGAAUCCAUAGGUUAAUGAGGCGAACCGGGGGAACUGAAACAUCUAAGUACCCCGAGGAAAAGAAAUCAACCGAGAUUCCCCCAGUAGCGGCGAGCGAACGGGGAGCAGCCCAGAGCCUGAAUCAGUGUGUGUGUUAGUGGAAGCGUCUGGAAAGGCGCGCGAUACAGGGUGACAGCCCCGUACACAAAAAUGCACAUAUUGUGAGCUCGAUGAGUAGGGCGGGACACGUGGUAUCCUGUCUGAAUAUGGGGGGACCAUCCUCCAAGGCUAAAUACUCCUGACUGACCGAUAGUGAACCAGUACCGUGAGGGAAAGGCGAAAAGAACCCCGGCGAGGGGAGUGAAAAAGAACCUGAAACCGUGUACGUACAAGCAGUGGGAGCCUCUUUAUGGGGUGACUGCGUACCUUUUGUAUAAUGGGUCAGCGACUUAUAUUCUGUAGCAAGGUUAACCGAAUAGGGGAGCCGAAGGGAAACCGAGUCUUAACUGGGCGUUAAGUUGCAGGGUAUAGACCCGAAACCCGGUGAUCUAGCCAUGGGCAGGUUGAAGGUUGGGUAACACUAACUGGAGGACCGAACCGACUAAUGUUGAAAAAUUAGCGGAUGACUUGUGGCUGGGGGUGAAAGGCCAAUCAAACCGGGAGAUAGCUGGUUCUCCCCGAAAGCUAUUUAGGUAGCGCCUCGUGAAUUCAUCUCCGGGGGUAGAGCACUGUUUCGGCAAGGGGGUCAUCCCGACUUACCAACCCGAUGCAAACUGCGAAUACCGGAGAAUGUUAUCACGGGAGACACACGGCGGGUGCUAACGUCCGUCGUGAAGAGGGAAACAACCCAGACCGCCAGCUAAGGUCCCAAAGUCAUGGUUAAGUGGGAAACGAUGUGGGAAGGCCCAGACAGCCAGGAUGUUGGCUUAGAAGCAGCCAUCAUUUAAAGAAAGCGUAAUAGCUCACUGGUCGAGUCGGCCUGCGCGGAAGAUGUAACGGGGCUAAACCAUGCACCGAAGCUGCGGCAGCGACACUAUGUGUUGUUGGGUAGGGGAGCGUUCUGUAAGCCUGUGAAGGUGUGCUGUGAGGUAUGCUGGAGGUAUCAGAAGUGCGAAUGCUGACAUAAGUAACGAUAAAGCGGGUGAAAAGCCCGCUCGCCGGAAGACCAAGGGUUCCUGUCCAACGUUAAUCGGGGCAGGGUGAGUCGACCCCUAAGGCGAGGCCGAAAGGCGUAGUCGAUGGGAAACAGGUUAAUAUUCCUGUACUUGGUGUUACUGCGAAGGGGGGACGGAGAAGGCUAUGUUGGCCGGGCGACGGUUGUCCCGGUUUAAGCGUGUAGGCUGGUUUUCCAGGCAAAUCCGGAAAAUCAAGGCUGAGGCGUGAUGACGAGGCACUACGGUGCUGAAGCAACAAAUGCCCUGCUUCCAGGAAAAGCCUCUAAGCAUCAGGUAACAUCAAAUCGUACCCCAAACCGACACAGGUGGUCAGGUAGAGAAUACCAAGGCGCUUGAGAGAACUCGGGUGAAGGAACUAGGCAAAAUGGUGCCGUAACUUCGGGAGAAGGCACGCUGAUAUGUAGGUGAAGUCCCUUGCGGAUGGAGCUGAAAUCAGUCGAAGAUACCAGCUGGCUGCAACUGUUUAUUAAAAACACAGCACUGUGCAAACACGAAAGUGGACGUAUACGGUGUGACGCCUGCCCGGUGCCGGAAGGUUAAUUGAUGGGGUUAGCGGUAACGCGAAGCUCUUGAUCGAAGCCCCGGUAAACGGCGGCCGUAACUAUAACGGUCCUAAGGUAGCGAAAUUCCUUGUCGGGUAAGUUCCGACCUGCACGAAUGGCGUAAUGAUGGCCAGGCUGUCUCCACCCGAGACUCAGUGAAAUUGAACUCGCUGUGAAGAUGCAGUGUACCCGCGGCAAGACGGAAAGACCCCGUGAACCUUUACUAUAGCUUGACACUGAACAUUGAGCCUUGAUGUGUAGGAUAGGUGGGAGGCUUUGAAGUGUGGACGCCAGUCUGCAUGGAGCCGACCUUGAAAUACCACCCUUUAAUGUUUGAUGUUCUAACGUUGGCCCCUAAUCGGGGUUGCGGACAGUGUCUGGUGGGUAGUUUGACUGGGGCGGUCUCCUCCUAAAGAGUAACGGAGGAGCACGAAGGUUGGCUAAUCCUGGUCGGACAUCAGGAGGUUAGUGCAAUGGCAUAAGCCAGCUUGACUGCGAGCGUGACGGCGCGAGCAGGUGCGAAAGCAGGUCAUAGUGAUCCGGUGGUUCUGAAUGGAAGGGCCAUCGCUCAACGGAUAAAAGGUACUCCGGGGAUAACAGGCUGAUACCGCCCAAGAGUUCAUAUCGACGGCGGUGUUUGGCACCUCGAUGUCGGCUCAUCACAUCCUGGGGCUGAAGUAGGUCCCAAGGGUAUGGCUGUUCGCCAUUUAAAGUGGUACGCGAGCUGGGUUUAGAACGUCGUGAGACAGUUCGGUCCCUAUCUGCCGUGGGCGCUGGAGAACUGAGGGGGGCUGCUCCUAGUACGAGAGGACCGGAGUGGACGCAUCACUGGUGUUCGGGUUGUCAUGCCAAUGGCACUGCCCGGUAGCUAAAUGCGGAAGAGAUAAGUGCUGAAAGCAUCUAAGCACGAAACUUGCCCCGAGAUGAGUUCUCCCUGACCCUUUAAGGGUCCUGAAGGAACGUUGAAGACGACGACGUUGAUAGGCCGGGUGUGUAAGCGCAGCGAUGCGUUGAGCUAACCGGUACUAAUGAACCGUGAGGCUUAACCUUA
rnacentral:rRNA from 1 species